rnacentral:tRNA from 1 species
GCGGGGGUAGCAGAGCCAGGUCAACCUUCACGAAGGGGCCUCAUGCGCGGGACUCAAGUCAAGGAACCGGCGAACCCCGGUUCAUGUGGGGUAUCCCGUCCCGAAGGGGUUCGUGGGUUCAAAUCCCACCCCCCGCA